rnacentral:rRNA from 1 species
CCUACGGGUGGCAGCAGUGAGGAAUAUUGGUCAAUGGACGAGAGUCUGAACCAGCCAAGUAGCGUGAAGGAUGACUGCCCUAUGGGUUGUAAACUUCUUUUAUAUGGGAAUAAAAUGUUCCACGUGUGGGAUUUUGUAUGUACCAUAUGAAUAAGGAUCGGCUAACUCCGUGCCAGCAGCCGCGGUAAUACGGAGGAUCCGAGCGUUAUCCGGAUUUAUUGGGUUUAAAGGGAGCGUAGGUGGAUUGUUAAGUCAGUUGUGAAAGUUUGCGGCUCAACCGUAAAAUUGCAGUUGAAACUGGCAGUCUUGAGUACAGUAGAGGUGGGCAGAAUUCGUGGUGUAGCGGUGAAAUGCUUAGAUAUCACGAAGAACUCCGAUUGCGAAGGCAGUUCACUGGACUGCAACUGACACUGAGGCUCGAAAGUGUGGGUAUCAAACAGGAUUAGAUACCACUGUAGUC